UCAAACGGAUGAACCUGUGCUUCCAUUCUUUGCCAAUGACUUGGCUGAAUUACUGAAGAAUUUGCUGAGGCGAUUCAUCAAGCGAGAGCUACUGACUGAUGUCACACCUCAGCACUUGGUACGGCUUGAUGUCACUGACAAGCAGUCGAGGGUGCAUCCAAAGGCAGUGGACAUCGGCAUUGGUGCAGAGACUGCCAUAAAGGUGAUCUGAUCACCCAGAAGUUCUCAGAGAUGCUGUCCCUGGAGGUUCGAACUGAAAAAUUUCAGUCCUUCCAGCCAUUCAAGAAAAGACUGGAUGUCUUUCUAAGCAACAUCAUCAGUGAGACCUACCCACAACUUUGGUCCUUUAUCCAGAAGCUUCUACUUCUAUCACACGGGCAGGCAACAGUUGAGCGGGGCUUUUCGGUGAACAAAGAAAUUGAAACUGCUAACAUUCACGAAGACACCGUUGUAGCGCAGAGAAUCGUCUGUGACUACAUCUCUCUCCAUGGAGGGGUUACCAAGGUCCCCCUCACGCCAGCCCUGCUUUCCUCGGUCUCAUCUUCCAGAGCAAGAUAUAGAAUUCAUCUUGAGACGGAGAGAAAAAAGAGAGAAUCUCAAGCAGAGUCAGAAAAACGAAAGGCCAUUGAGGAGAACCUGGAGCAACUGAGAAAGCACAGAAGAUCCAUCAAGGAGGUAGCCGAACAUCUGCUCAGGGAUGCUGAUAAGUUGGCAGACCAGGCUGAAGCCAAGCAAGCAGGCAGCAAGAUGGCGGAGCUAAUAGCAAAAUCGAAUGCCUUUAGAAGGAGCCACAAGGAAAAGAUGGCUGAACUCAUUAAACUGGACGAACAGAUUGCUGCCAAAAGAGCUGAGCUCCAAAAGCUGUAGGAUCUAUUGAAAUGCACACAGGCACACCCACAGACGAAUGCAGGCACACGCACACACAAACACACACACACACGUACACCCCUCACAGUUAUUGUUUUAAAUUAUUCUGUCUUAGGACUUAAAUACAGUGUAGAUUGCAACAACCGCACACAGGCACACCCACAGACGAAUGCAGGCACACGCACACACAAACACACACACACACACACACACGUACACCCCUCACAGUUAUUGUUUUAAAUGGUUCACUUAGAUACAAUGUAGAUUGCAACA